AUGUACAGAAGUGAGAUGAUUCUUUGAUAAAAGUGCCCAAUCAAAUGGAAGUCUGAAAAAGAAUCUGAGAGCGAAGUGACAGGCUUAUCUUACCUACUCAAACAUUCUGUGCAUCCAACUGCCAAGGGUUUUAUUCUUUUCCACCGGUGACCAAAUUCCCUAAAAGCAGCAG